rnacentral:rRNA from 1 species
UACGGAGGAUGCAAGCGUUAUCCGGAUUUAUUGGGCGUAAAGCGUCCGCAGGUGGCUAUUCAAGUCUGCUGUCAAAAGCUCGGAGCUUAACUCCGAAUCGGCGGUGGAAACUGAAACAGCUAGAGUGCAGUAGGGGGUAGAGGGAAUUCCCAGUGUAGCGGUGAAAAUGCGUAGAGAUUGGGAAGAACACCGGUGGCGAAAGCGGGGUCUACUGGGCAACAACUGACGCUGAGGAGGCGAAAGCGUGGGGAGCGAAACAGGAUUAAGA